AUAUUGUUAUGCAUGAUACAUAGUUCUGUCAAAUACAUGUAUCAAACACAAUGUCCUCUUAAUAUAUAACCAAAACUCCACAAUCACUAUCAAGCUGUCAAUAUGCUGCUGUUAUAAACAUGGGCAGUGUAGAUCAUGUAAACAGUUUCACAACUAGAAGAGAGAUUACACCACAGACUUUUCAACAUUUAAUUAAAGUGUAUUUUAAUUUCAUAUUAAUUAUACAUCAUGACUUUGUGGUAUAUCGUGAAAAUGAAAACAUUGUAUAUGUCUUUAGUGGAGACGUACACCUCUUCAUUACGCUGCUGAUGGUGGUCACAGCGAUGUAGUAGCUCUACUCAUUCAGCACGGAGCUGAUCCCUGCAGUACAGACAGGCGUGGUGUACGUCCCAGCGAUCGCCAAAUAUGGACAAAACAUGGAUUAGCAACAGUUUUAAAGAAAUUCGAGAAUGGUCAAGUCCAGAACUUCAUCUUCAUCUUGUGUUUGGAACAUGUUGCUGCUACAAUGACUCUUGUUGAGGCUUACAUUAUUUUCAAUGAAGACAUGAGUAACGAUCCUACCAGUGAACUCCAGAACAAGAAGUUAGAUAGAUUAAACGCGUGGGCCAACACGAAUGGGGUUAAAACUAUCCAAGAGUUAAAAGUCAGAUUGUCGAAUGUUGGACGUCAUAAUUUAGCCGUGGCUGCUGCAAAUCACUACGCCAAGAUCGUCCAAGCGAUUAUGGAUAUGUCAGCCGAAUACUACGAAACAUUUUGUCAAGAUCCCAUGUCAAACAGACACAUGAUUACAUCUACAGUUUGUCCCACGGAGCAGAGAUGUGAAAUAAGUAUGGAGACAGAUUUGUACCAAUACGACGCAUAUUUAGCACACCACAGUGACGACGAGGAGGUAGUGGACAAGGUGAGGGGGGAGUUAAAGUCCAGUGGAGUCCGCUGUUCUGAAACAGCUCUUGCUGGAACAUCCAAAGUAAACUCUGAUAAUGAUCCAGUUAAGACAGCCAAGCGCACGGUGCCAUUUUUUUCCAAAAAUUCUCUGGAAAGUAAAUUGUUUAAGAUGACGUGUGACGUGGCACUUAUUGAGGCCGACGAAAGGAAAGAAGACGUGAUGAUUCCUGUCACCAUUGACGUCGAUCCAAAGUCUUUACCGCCUCCAUAUGGAACUCUCAAUUGUAUCCCUUACCAGAGCCAAGAUUUCAUCCCGAAAUUGGUCAACGCUAUUAAAGGACCAACAGAUGCGCCUCUCUACGGUGAACUUCGUGAUGAAAACGAAAACCUGAAACGGGAGAUUGCAGCAUUGCGACAGCAACUUGAAGAUUGUACAGCACUGAUCAGACGUCUGCAGGCAGAGUAGGAAGCUGCAGCUGCUCCUAGACAAUUUGUCUGUGAACCCCGAGGAAUGUGAACUAUGACUACUAUAAAUAUUUGAUUUUUUGCUAUUGAUGUACAAUUAUUUUCGAAAUCUCUCUCCAAAGUCUUCUCUUUCUGUUAAGUAUAACACACGAUUUAUUACAAAAAGUUGGUCAAAUUACAGAACCUGAAUUGAAAGAGAAGCCCAUUGUUUUUCGAUACGCACUUUAAAAUAGCCAGCAUAUCUUUUGAAUGGAAUAGUUAGUAAGGAUCAUUUCUUUCACGACAGCAUGCAUGUCGUUAUGUUAGGGCAUGUUUCAUAGGUAUUGACCUGCAGUGUAAAUGAUUCGUUAGAAGUAAGUACAGGGGUAACAAGCCACAUUUACUAUAAUAAUCCAUGUACCACAGCCAACCAAUAAGAUAUGGUGCAUAAAGAUACAAGCAGUAUAAUGUUAACUCUCAGUGGGGGUACCGUGAUGAGAACGUGCGCCAAUUACCAGUUGACGUUUUAGGAGAAGAAAGAUCCCCUUGAAAUGUACAUAGUGGACUUACUUUAUCAUAUGACCAUAUCAUAAUGGACUUAUUUUACCAUAAAGCAUUAUCUAUCCUGUUUGUUGUUUAUAUUAAUUACAGCAUAUUCACCGCACCCAAUGCACCACCAGCAUUCGGAUACCAGCAGUAAAAAGGCGACUGUCAGAGCGGAUACCGUGAGGACGUGAUAGCUAGUUAGCAUUAACCAGCAAUCAAAGAACGAUUUGCGUUGUGUUUUUAAGAUGCACUUUUGAGGUGUGCUCGACAUGUGAUAUAUUUGCAAAGUAAGCUUAAACAUGUAAAGAACAUUGUGUUAUCACUGUGGAGUCAGAAUAUAU
rnacentral:misc_RNA from 1 species